rnacentral:rRNA from 1 species
GAUGAACGCUGGCGGCGUGCCUAAUACAUGCAAGUCGAGCGAACGGACGAGAAGCUUGCUUCUCUGAUGUUAGCGGCGGACGGGUGAGUAACACGUGGAUAACCUACCUAUAAGACUGGGAUAACUUCGGGAAACCGGAGCUAAUACCGGAUAAUAUUUUGAACCGCAUGGUUCAAAAGUAAAAGACGGUCUUGCUGUCACUUAUAGAUGGAUCCGCGCUGCAUUAGCUAGUUGGUAAGGUAACGGCUUACCAAGGCAACGAUGCAUAGCCGACCUGAGAGGGUGAUCGGCCACACUGGAACUGAGACACGGUCCAGCCUCCUACGGGAGGCAGCAGUAGGGAAUCUUCCGCAAUGGGCGAAAGCCUGACGGGGCAACGCCGCGUGAGUGAUGAAGGUCUUCGGAUCGUAAAACUCUGUUAUUAGGGAAGAACAUAUGUGUAAGUAACUGUGCACAUCUUGACGGUACCUAAUCAGAAAGCCAUGGCUAACUACGUG